rnacentral:rRNA from 1 species
AAGCUCGUAGUUGAAUUUCGGGACCAAUAUGUCGGUCGUGCUUCGGUACGUACUGAUAUAAUUGGUUUCUCCCUUCUGAAGAACCUUGAUGUCAUUAAUUUGGUGUCUUGGGGAAUCAGGACUGUUACUUUGAAAAAAUUAGAGUGUUUAAAGCAGGCUCGCGCUUGAAUACAUUAGCAUGGAAUAAUGUAAUAGGACGUUUGAUUCUAUUUUGUUGGUUUCUAGGAUCGACGUAAUGAUUAAUAGGGAUAGUUGGGGGCAUUAGUAUUCAAUUGUCAGAGGUGAAAUUCUUGGAUUUAUUGAAGACUAACUACUGCGAAAGCAUUUGCCAAGGAUGUUUUCAUUAAUCAAGAACGAAAGUUAGGGGAUCGAAGACGAUCAGAUACCGUCGUAGUCUUAACCAUAAACUAUGCCGACUAGGGAUCGGAUGAUGUUAAUUUUUUAAUGACUCAUUCGGCGCCUUACGGGAAACCAAAGUGUUUGGGUUCCGGGGGGAGUAUGGUCGCAAGGCUGAAACUUAAAGGAAUUGACGGAAGGGCACCACCAGGGGUGGAGCCUGCGGCUUAAUUUGACUCAACACGGGGAAACUCACCAGGUCCAGACAUAGUAAGGAUUGACAGAUUGAGAGCUCUUUCUUGAUUCUAUGGGUG